rnacentral:RNase_P_RNA from 1 species
GGAGCAGGUUUGGCAGUCGCGUCCCGAUUUCGGUCGGGAUGAGGAAAGUCCGAGCUUCACUGAGCAGGAUACCUCCUAACGGGAGGGCGGAGCAAUCCGACGGACAGUGCAACAGAAAGAUACCGCCACGCAGGCAACUGCGGGGUAAGGGUGAAAUGGUGGUGUAAGAGACCACCGGCGGGGGAAGUAAUUUCUCCGGACCGGCAAACCCUAUCCGAAGCAAGACCGAAUAGGGGAGAAGAGCUGCUCAGACUCGUUUGUACUCCCGGGUAGGUCGCUACAGGUUUCGCGCGAGCGGAAUCGCAGAGAAAUGGCUGCAGGCAAUUAGCCUUACAGAACUCGGCUUAUCGCCUGCUGCGGAA